rnacentral:tRNA from 7 species
GCCCGUUUGGCCAAGGGGCUACGGCGUCAGUCUUGUAAACUGAAGAUCACCGGUUCGAAUCCGGUAAUGGGCA